GGCACUGCCGACGAGGGUCAAAGUGUAGUAUCGGUUCUUAUCAGUUUGAUAUCUGAUACGGGUUGUAUUUGGACCCGAGAUAUUAAACUUAUCUUUGCAAGUUGGCAGAGUGCUUCAAGCCUGUUUCAUCUCCACCGCGAGUUGGCCCGGUAUUGCACUAUCUUUUGGGUGGGCCCACGCGUU